rnacentral:rRNA from 1 species
UAGGGAAUCUUCGGCAAUGGACGAAAGUCUGACCGAGCAACGCCGCGUGAGUGAAGAAGGUUUUCGGAUCGUAAAACUCUGUUGUUAGAGAAGAACAAGGACGUUAGUAACUGAACGUCCCCUGACGGUAUCUAACCAGAAAGCCACGGCUAACUACGUGCCAGCAGCCGCGGUAAUACGUAGGUGGCAAGCGUUGUCCGGAUUUAUUGGGCGUAAAGCGAGCGCAGGCGGUUUCUUAAGUCUGAUGUGAAAGCCCCCGGCUCAACCGGGGAGGGUCAUUGGAAACUGGGAUACUUGAGUGCAGAAGAGGAGAGUGGAAUUCCAUGUGUAGCGGUGAAAUGCGUAGAUAUAUGGAGGAACACCAGUGGCGAAGGCGGCUCUCUGGUCUGUAACUGACGCUGAGGCUAGAAAGCGUGGGGAGCAAACAGG